CGCGCUUUUGUUGGUAGGCACGUUAGAGUGACCGCAGCUAGAUGUAACUACUUUGUGAAACUUUUUUAGUGCUCCAAAUAUUUCAAAAACUAUGAACCAAAAAAGGAGACUUUAAAAUGUUAACUUACUAAUAUCAGUGAAGGUUAUUAAGAUCACUUAUUUCUAUGACCUGAAGAUAAAGGGAAAUAAUUUUUCAAUUCCAAACAUUAUUAAUUAAUUUCCUCCCCAAAAUUUUACGUCAACAUUUUCAUUUAUAUU
ensembl:ncRNA lncRNA:CR45446 long non-coding RNA:CR45446